GGACUGAAGGGAGCAGAAACAUUUCACACUGUAAAGAUAUUAUUCCUCUGAUGUCAUUUCCAGUGACUAAUAUUAAUAUUACUAUAACAGAUGUAAGAAAACUAUGUAGAGAUCACAGAAUCAUCCAGGCAAAGGAGAUUCGUGUGUGCCAAAAUCUACCUCAAAAAUAAAAAAAAAAAAAUCUAUCAAAGCAAGAGUUCAAUCCCAGGGUCUUCAAAGUAUUCAGAAGAGCCUUCCACAGGAGUAAUUGAAAACACAUCUUGUGCUCAAAACUUCAGCGAAUGGAACAAGUCCUGAAGCCCAUUCAGCCUAUGGCAAUAUCUGAAGAACAAUAUGGAUGUUUGGAAAAGUUAAAAAACAAGAAAGCUACAGAAUUUUCCCCACCAAAUUCCCCUAGAAAAAGAUAAGAAAAACAAAGGGGAAAAAACCCAAAACAGUAAUUUGGAAAACCCUCCAUUUAAAAAGUACUUAUAGAGAGGGACAAAGAAGGCUCGAAAGGUAAAUAAGUCCCUUGCCUUGAAAUCCGAGUUCAGUUCCAGGAACCCAUGUAAAAGGAGAGAACUGGAAAAAAUACUACUAGAAUGGCUUUCCUAACUCCCACACUUUCUCCUGUAUAAUCCACUCCCUGAUUCUUUGCAUUCUUGCUACAUUCUUGAUUGUUACUAGGAAUACAUGAGACUUGAGUUAAAAAA
rnacentral:sRNA from 1 species